UGUGAAAAUGUAUUUGCACCCUUCCUGGUUUCUAUUUUAUAUAUUAGUCACACUUAGAUAUUUCAGAUCAUCAAAUACAUUUUUAGAUUAGACAAAGAUAACCCAAGCAAACAGAAAACACAGUUCUUAAAGGAAUAUUUCAUUUACAUGGCACUGUGUGAAAAGGUAAUUGUCCCUAAACCUAAUAACUGGUUAGCAAGAACUGAAUCAAGCGUUUGCAAUGAUUGGCAAUGAGUCUUUCACAUCACUGUGGAGGAACUUUUCAAAACUCUACUAUGUAGAAUAUUUUCAAUUCAGUCGCACUGGACUGGAUUUUCAAGCAUGAAUGGAUUUUAAAGCCAUUCAGAGGUGGCCUUGCUCAUGUGCUCAUGGCCACAAAUUCUCCUUCAAUAUCAUGGUUCCUUCUGUCUACUUUUUCUGUCUCCCAGGUAGGAGAGCUAAAGUGUCUGCUGCUGAGCUGGAAGAGUUUACAAAGCAGGCAGAGUGUCUGAACCUAGAAUCCCCUGCUAUCUUGGAUUCAGAAAAAGGGUUUUGCCCAGAUCCAGCGCUCGGCCCCGGAACACAGACUACUGAUCUGUCCUUGAGUAGCGUAACGCCCGAUGAUCUCAACCUAUCGGAGAAGCUUUUCACUGAGAGUGGAAUGAAGACCAUUUUAGACACGGACCAAAGUAGUGUGGAUCUAUUCAAUGAAGACUGAAGUAGUCAUAAAAUGUCACUAAGCCAUUCUUCGCUGACCUCUGGUGUUAACACAUUUUCUAAAUCUAAAGCUUACUUGAUCCUUUGUCUGACCACUCUCUGUAAACCCUAGAGCCAUGCUAUGUUAAAUGUUACUCAAAUCAACCGUCUUACCCAUUCUGAUGUUCCGAUUUGAGCUUCAGCAGGUUAUCUUGCGUCCUCAUGCUUAAAUAAACGGAGUUGUUGUCAUUUGAUUGGCUGAUUAGAAUGAAAGAGCAGGUGGACA